CUGUUUCGUAUUUGUCGCCGCACGGAUCGCGUCUCCAUGACAACACGGUCGUUCGAAAGGCGGAACGUUUGAGAGUCGAGACGUACAGACAUUAAAUUAAGUCUUUCUUUAAUCUCGGACACAUAAAGGCUUUCCACAAGAUGGAGUGUAAAGAAAAGAAGUGUUAGCUGUUUCGUUCGAUGUGGCUGAGCAGGGCGCGAGGCCCCACAGUCAGUCACUCACUGGGGAGAAGAACAAGAAGAAGAAGUAGCCUCGCGGGCUGGCGCCACCCGGUGGUGUGUCGGGGUUGCGUGGCAGUUCCGUGGGAUGGAACAAUGACGGUCCCGCCCCCUUGGUCCCUCUCUCUCCCGCUCCCAGCUGUGCUGCUCAUCGCGCUCUGUGUGUACGUGCUGCUCCUGGUGGGGGCGCUGUGGUGCCGACAGCUCCUAUUGGUACAGUAUCAACGACUGCCCACCCUCACUGCCAACACUCACUGCUCUGACACUUCCAAGUGCCUGUCACUGUUGUGUCUGCAGCUGUGCUGCCUGUACCCCCCCCCCCCCCCCCACACACACACACACACACACACACACACACACACACGAUCACAUGUGAACCUCUCUCCUGCAGGCCCGGUGUUCACCGCAGUGCAGCAGCAGCAGUGGCUGCUGUGCCGACGCCACCCCGUGCGACCGCUGUCUGGUGUGUGCCGAGUCGUGUGACUGGCGCCUGCCCUCGCUGCGCUCGUGCCUCGACCGAACGUGCCCCUCCCCUUCUGUGAGUCGGCCGUUGUUCCCUUUCUCCUGCUCGCACCGCGUCGGUAUUUGUGUGGCAGCGCUGUUACCCUGGUAGCCAGGCUUACAGAGGCCCUCUCCCCCGCAGUGUGCCAUGUGGGACUGCGCGUGUACCUGCCAGGCCCCCGACUGCGACUCAAUCAACUGCCUCUGCUUCGAGAUCAAGUUCAGGUAAAGAGAAGAGGAGCAGCAACCCUCACACAAAGACACACACCUGUGCGCAUAGGCUGGAGAGCUUCAGACACCUGCCUUCAAGGUGUGUGUGUAAUAUACUGUAUCAAGAGCAGGUUUCUUACUCGCACCUUCCAUGCAGACUUUGUGUUAAACUGGAAAAGUGAGUCCGCUUGUUUCAGUGCCUCGUGUGCGUUUGGAUGUUGGAUGCAGAGUGUCGCAGCUCGUGAGUUGGUGCCCUUUUUCGUUCUUUUUGGCAUCCACGGCGCAGAGGUAAUGUAGCCAAAACCAUCGUAAUGCGAGUAUAAAGUCUGAAAAUGGUCCUUCUGCGUUCCUGUGGAUCCACAGCAGAACUGAGACAGGGGGCACUUCGCUGGACCUGUUUCUCCAACGUCAGUUUUAUCGUUGCUGUCUUUUCUUGUUCAUGAAGUGACCGUGUAGCUUUGAAGAAGUGCAGUGAUUGAUUGAUGAAGCAGCAUGUGCAGCUAGAAUGUGCGGUUUCAGAGUGAAUCCCCUCCAAAACGCGGUGCUGUGCAACUCUACUCUUGCAUUCUACUUUUAUGUAUUUAGCUACUUUGCAUUACCCUCCAAGUGUACUUUUGUAAGAAAUACAAUUGCAAGUUUUUUUAAAAUAAAGUAUAGUUCUCUGUGUUUACA
ensembl:lncRNA